rnacentral:lncRNA from 9 species
UUUUUUUUUUUUUUUUUAACCGAACUCAAGACCUGGGGAAGAAUGUGAAAGUUUCAGCAAAUUGAAAAUGAGGCUCAGGCCCCUCCUCCUUCCUUUGAUGCCCCCUCUCAGGAGCCAAGCUGCACCUCUACAUGGCUGUUUGGUGCAUCAGAUUACAAAGGAACCGCAAUGAGGAGAGAGAGAGAGAUCCUUGAGGGAAAAUCCACGCAGGACAAACAGAGUAUGUAACCAGGCUUCAGGAAUGGCUUUUUCUUCCUUUUACACUGGCUGGGGUUGUUUGCAAAAUCUGAUUUACCUUCUGCCAAGGACACAGAGACCGUAAAAUGAAAUCUAUGGGAAAGUGAGGCUCCUUGGUGUCUCAUCUCGACUUCAAGGCAAAAUCAAAGGCAGGAUGAGUUCCUGGCAAGCAGUGGGUUAAAGGCUUUAGAAUCAGACAGAUGUAGAAUUGAAUCCUCACUCCUCAACCUCUUAGUGCGCAAGUUUCCUCAACUGUAAAAAACAGGGAUAACAAUGUCCACUCUUCCAUCUGCCCAUCUAAAUGGAGCUCCAUUACCCACCUUCAGAUAAUGUGAUGGUCAUUAAGAUUGUUCACCAAGCACGUUGGCUCUCCUGCUUUCUAGGCACACAAGAGGAUGGCACUUUACGGCCUUCUUUGAAAUUAGGUAAGGUCACGUGACAGUUCUGGACAAUGAAUUGUGAGCAGAGGUGACACGUGUCACCUACAGGUAGAAGAUUUAAUUGCCAUUGUGAGACCAUCCAGGGCUCUCUUUUCCUCUGGCACAGUGACCGACGACAUAUGACACAGCACUCCCUCCAUCAGCCCAAGGGGCUGAGUGACUACGGUGAACAGUUUCCCUGACAAUCUGUAAUGAACUUGUAACAUGAGCAAGAAAUAAAACUGUCAUGGGAGUUCCUGUUGUGGCUCAGUGGUUAACGAAUCCGACUAGGAACCAUGUGGUUGCAGGUUCAAUCUCUGGCCUCACUCAGUGGGUUAAGGAUCCAUAUUGCUACUGCUGUGGCUCAGGUCACUGCUGUAGCAUGGGUUCAGUUCCUGGCCUGAGAACUUCCACAUGCCAUAGGCAUGGCCACCACCCCCCCCCCAAAAAAAAGAAAAAAAGAAACCAAAACUAAUCUUCUUACAGACCCAUCUCCUCACCAACACAUCACAUCUUCUCCUUCAUGCCCCUGCUUCAGCUGGACUCAUAUCUUUGAAUAUCAUGUCUUCCACGAAUCUCUGGAAUCUCUCCUUCUGAAAAUCUUCUAAUUCCACCAUUCGGUGGAUACAUCCUGCCUUGAAAAGCACAGCAGAGCAAACUUUGGAGCAGGACAAUCCUUUCAAGUCCUAACUUUGCCUUUCCCUUGCUGAAAAGGUUACAAGUGUAGCUUUGGUUGAACACAUAUUAUAUACACGACACUGCAGAUCAUAUCAUACAAAUUUAAUUCUCACACUUGCCCUUCAAGAUCAAUUUUAGUAGUUCCAGCUGUGGCACAGCGGGUUAAAGGAUUCGGCAUUGCCGCAGCUGCAGCAUAGGUCUCAGCUGCGGCUCAGAUUCAAUCCCUGGCCUAGGAACUUCCAUUAUGUGGUGGGUGCGGGCAUUUAAAAAAAAAAAAUCAACACAC